rnacentral:rRNA from 1 species
UACAAGCGUAAAAAGGAUGCUAUUGUUCUUAAGCUACAUUUCCAAAAAGCCUUUGACUCUGUAUCUUGGGAUGUCAUUGCCGCCGUCUUGCAGGCGAAAGGUUUCCCCCCACUUUGGUGCUCUUGGAUCGACCAACUAAAUAGAUCCAUCCAAUCCUCUGUGCUCCUAAAUUGGACACCCGGGCCCUGGUUUCAUUGCAAAAAAGGGUUGCGCCAGGGCGACUUCAUGUCACCGUAUCUAUUUAUCCUCAUCGUUGACAUUCUUCAGCAUCUUAUUCUGCACGCAUCGACUUCGGGGCUUCAUCACCAUCCUCUAGAUAUUUCUCUUUCGGGCCCAGUCCUACAGUACGGCGAAAUCAUCCUUGAGGCUAGCUUGGAUCAAUUAAUUCAUCUUAAAUCCAUUUUACUAGAGUUCUCGGCCGCCAACGGGCUGCACAUUAAUUUCCACAAGAGCACCUUUUCCCCUAUUCAUGUGGAUGAUGCUCUCACCUCUUCCAUGGCAACGGUGCUCGGAUGCCCAGAGGCCUCCUUCCCUCAAAGCCACCUGGGUCUCCCUCUAUCCAUUCAUAAGCUUAACCUCUGGGCUUUUUUCUUCAUCAUUGACGAAGUGGAUCGGAGACAAGCUGGCUGGAGGGGCAUGCUCCUAUCCUUAGCCGGCAGGGCCAUCCUAGUGCGGGCAGUCCUUCGUGCCCUCCCACUCUAUGCGACGUCUACUCUUCUACUUCCUUUAGGUACAAUCCAGGCCAUCAAUAGUCGCUGUCGAGCUUUCUUCUGGGCAGGAUAG